rnacentral:rRNA from 1 species
AGAGAUGUGUGAUGACGCAUAUCAAUAAGCGGAGGAAAAGAAACUAACAAGGAUUCCCUUAGUAACGGCGAGUGGAGCGGGAAGAGCUCAAAUUUGAAAUCUUCAAGGUUCUACCUUGACGAAUUGUAGUUUAUAGAAGUGUUUUCUGUUAGUGGAGUGGCAAAAGUUCUUUGGAAUAGGACAUCAUAGAGGGUGAGAAUCCCGUAUUUGGUCAUUCCUCCUAGCGUUGUGAUACACUUUCAACGAGUCGGAUUGUUUGGGAAUGCAGUCCAAAAUGGGUGGUAAACUUCAUCUAAAGCUAAAUAUUGGCGAGAGACCGAUAGCGAACAAGUACCGUGAGGGAAAGAUGAAAAGAACUUUGAAAAGAGAGUUAAACAGUACGUGAAAUUGUCAAAAGGGAAGCGUUUGACACCAGUGUUGUUUUUUCCGAAAAUCAAUUACGAAUGUUUUGUUUUUGAGGAGUUAUGACUUCAUCGGCUUGCUCCUUUCUUUACGAAACUUUCUUAAUGCACUUUUCGGUUAACAAGUCAACAUCAAUUUCUUUUGUUGUAAAAGGGUAUGAGGAAGGUGGCUUUCUUUUCGGAGAAAGUGUUUAUAGCCUUGUGCCUCUGCAAUCGGAGAGAUUGAGGUCUGCAGCGUAGAUCCUUCGGGGUUAGAUACAUUUGUGCUAAGUUAUAGCUUUUCAUAGACAACUUGUUGACUUAUGUUAAGUCAUUGUAGCUUACUCGCUUAUGCUAUUUUACCUACGCUUAGGAUGUUGAAGAUGUAGCACAUCAU